rfam:Calypte anna contig29594, whole genome shotgun sequence.
ACAAAGGCUCUUUUAAGAGCCACUACUGGUCCCAAAAAAGGAGCUG